rnacentral:rRNA from 1 species
AUAUACAGCCAUAUCACCUGUAACUCACAACUGGCAACCCACUGAAGCUAAGCAGGUGUGAGCCUGGUCAGUACCUGGAUGGGAGACCUCCGGGGAAAAACUAAGGUUGCUGCUGGAA